CUUGGAAGAAAACAGGAUUUUAGCAUAGCACCUCACUUUGCACAUUAAAAAUGGAAAAAUACGAUAGAAGAGGUGUGCCAGGCUCUAUCUCUGACUCAGCACCUAUGGCCAGAAGGAUCAGAUGUCUGGCAUGUGCUCUGCGUUACUUCAUGUUCAUUGCUCUUGAGAAUGCACCAUUGCUUCUUAGGAAGUAAAGAGAACACAGCCUCUGGGAGGGAAGCUAUGAUUCACCAGGUG
rnacentral:lncRNA from 1 species